CUAUGCAAGCUAAAGAGUGCAAGCAGAUUGAAGAAACAGUUUGGAGCAACAAUGAUCUAUUUGAGAACGCCUCAUCAUUUCCUGUUACUUGUGCUGACAUGAAGUCAAAUAGGAUUGAUAAUAUUAAAGGGGCUUCUGAAGAUGUCAAGUUGCAUGAUAGGAUGCUCGCUUCUGAUUUAGAGGCUAAAGACAUAUCUAUUGUUGGCAGCGAGAGCGAAAUUAUAAACCAUCAAAGUGUGCCAACACGAAUCGGCUCAGGAACCGAAGAGCUUAUAAUUGGCGGCGCAACCGCAACUCAAAAUUUAUCUGGACAUCUUAUUCAUGAAGACGCAAGUCUUCCUGGAACUGCUGCUUUGUCUGGUCCCAUAAUCACUUCAGGUCAUAUACCUUACUCUGGCAACAUAUCUCUUAGGUCAGAUAGUAGCACAACAAGUACACGUUCCUUUGCAUUUCCCAUAUUGCAGUCAGACUGGAGCAGCAGCCCUGUAAAAAUGGCAAAAGCUGAACGAAAGCACUCGUGGAAGCAUCGAUGGAGGGCUGCACUUACUUGUUGUAAAUUCUGAGUGAAAUUUCAGGCGUCAAUCUUAGGUUAGUCUAAAUUAAUAUCAUUCUUGCUGAUGAUCUGGAAAUAAUUUCUUCUCUUUUUUUUCCUUCUUCUCUAUAUAUAUUUACAGGAGGAUAAGGGUGUGUGUGGAUGUCUCAUUGUUGUAAAAAGCUCCUUUAGAGAGGAGAAAUUAUUCUAUGCGGAUGCUGGACGCAACUCUGCGUCCGGAGACAAAUCAGGCGUAGCCAUGUCAGCGGUAACGAGCUGCGGUAUACAGCGAAGUGGUGACGUGGCGUGUUUUGGUUGUCUCCGGAUGACGUUCGGUGUCCGCACAAAAUAAUUAAUCUUAAGAGAGAGCCAUAUAUGAACAUUUUUUUAGAGGAAAUUAUACUAAGCAAUGCUUGUUUUUACUAUAUUGACUUGAGAGUAAAAGGAAGUUCUGCUGAUGUUUAGGUAGUCAUGGUGCCAAGUGUUCUAUUACUAUAAACUUCCUAAAAAGUGUUAGGUCUAUUAAUAUUUUGAGGGGCAUAUGGAUAAACUCAAAUUUAUGAUGUUAAAUUUUAUUUUA